rnacentral:lncRNA from 1 species
AUGCAGCGACGGCGGCGCCCACCGCCGCCCGCUUCUCAGCUGCCGGAGGGCUGCGGGGGAGGAGGCGGCGGGAACGAGGAGGUGGAAGUGCAGUUCUCCGCCGGGCGUUUGGGCUCCGCCGCGGCAGUUUCGGUGGCGGCGGCGGCGGCCGCGCGCAGCACGGAGGAAGAGGAGGAGAGGCUCGAGCGCGAGCACUUCUGGAAGAUCAUAAAUGCCUUCCGCUACUACGGCACCAGUAUGCAUGAGCGAGUGCACCGAACAGAAAGACAGUUUCGAUCACUCCCAGCUAAUCAACAGAAACUACUUCCUCAGUUUCUUCUUCACUUGGACAAGAUCCGGAAAUGUGUUGAUCAUAAUCAAGAAAUACUACUGACCAUUGUGAAUGAUUGCAUACAUAUGUUUGAAAAUAAAGAAUAUGGAGAAGAUGGAAAUGGAAAGAUUAUGCCAGCAUCUACGUUUGACAUGGAUAAGUUAAAAUCCACAUUGAAACAGUUUGUGAGAGACUGGAGUGAAACUGGGAAAGCAGAAAGGGAUGCCUGCUACCAACCAAUCAUUAAAGAAAUUUUAAAAAAUUUUCCAAAAGAGAAAUGGGAUCCUUCUAAAGUAAAUAUUCUGGUACCUGGUGCUGGACUAGGAAGACUGGCCUGGGAAAUAGCUAUGCUAGGUUAUGCUUGUCAAGGAAAUGAAUGGAGUUUUUUUAUGCUUUUUUCUUCCAACUUUGUACUCAACAGAUGUUCUGAAAUUAAUAAAUAUAAGCUUUAUCCCUGGAUUCAUCAGUUUAGCAAUAACCGAAGGUCAGCUGAUCAGAUUCGACCCAUCUUUUUCCCUGAUGUUGACCCCCACAGUCUUCCUCCCGGUUCUAACUUUUCCAUGACAGCAGGAGAUUUUCAGGAGAUAUACUCAGAAUGCAAUACCUGGGACUGUAUUGCUACCUGUUUCUUCAUAGACACAGCUCACAAUGUAAUUGAUUAUAUUGAUACAAUAUGGAAAAUACUCAAGCCAGGUGGAAUUUGGAUAAAUCUAGGUCCUCUGCUGUACCACUUUGAAAAUUUGGCGAAUGAACUUUCCAUAGAAUUGAGCUAUGAGGAUAUAAAAAAUGUUGUCCUGCAGUAUGGAUUCCAGUUAGAGGUGGAAAAAGAAUCUGUCUUGUCAACGUAUACUGUGAAUGAUCUAUCCAUGAUGAAAUACUACUAUGAAUGUGUUUUGUUUGUGGUCCGUAAACCACAAUAA